AGGACGAACGCUGGCGGCGUGCUUAACACAUGCAAGUCGAGCGGAAAGGCCCUUCGGGGUACUCGAGCGGCGAACGGGUGAGUAACACGUGAGUAAUCUGCCCCUAGCUCUGGGAUAGCUCCGGGAAAACCGGGAUUAAUACCAGAUAUUACCACUUUAGACAUCUCUUGUGGUGGAAAGAAUUUCGGCUAGGGAUGAACUCGCGGCCUAUCAGCUUGUUGGUGAGGUAACGGCUCACCAAGGCGACGACGGGUA
rnacentral:rRNA from 1 species